CUUUAUUAGAGGAAUAACUAGGAUAAAUUAUGUUCCUCUGAGUUGUUGUCGUUUGAAUGAUUCAAAUGAUUGAAGGAAAUUAGUCUUUUAGAACUACAGAUGUGUUUGAAUUUUUUUUUUUUUUUUUUUUUUUUUUUGCGUGUGAGAAAUUGGGAAAAAAAAGAUUUCAGAGGCGUGUAAUGCAAAUUUUGAGUCUCCAAUUACACAGAGCUACGUAAUGAGCUUUAUCAAUAGUUGUUUUCUUGCAAAAAAUUUUACUGGAAAAAGAUUCUUGAAUCUUCCAACUGUCAAGAAAAUUAUACAGAAUUGAAGUAUUUAUUGUUCUGGUAUCUAUAGUUGCAGUCCGAAUUGUACAUUGCCCCUCUCUUUACGGGAUAGGUGCAGGAACGGUUGCUAAUGAAAUCGUUCUAAACUGUAGUAAAAGGAAGGUGUAAUUCAUAUAGAUAACUUGUACAAUUCUAUAAAUGAAAAUGUAAAAAUUAGAUAAUUAUUCACAAAGAAUACAAACAGGUCAGUUGUGUUAGAAUUACAUGGCGUAAUCUGAGGAUUACAUAUGAAUUACCUAUUGUUGAUUUGUUGACGAUAAGGGAUGGUUGUAAUUAAUCUCUCCCCCUUGUACCUCAUUACAAUCCACUCCAACAACCCCCCCCCCCCGCCCCCUUCCUCUUCCUCCUCCUCCUCCUCCUCCUCCUCUCGUUUUCCCGGGGCUUCCAAGCCCAAGUACUCAUAAAACCCAAAAAAGAAAUGGAAGAAGGGUCUUCCUCCCUCCCCUCGUUUCUGGAUGUCUAAGAUUAUAUUCAGGAUUAAUCUUUUAUACAUUAUCAAUUUCAAAAUACUCUAGUGGUUGGAAACAAAUAAAGCACGUAAUGUAAUUUAGAGUGUUUUGUGGCUUAGUGCAGUAAAUUGAUCCCUGUUUGGAUUGAUAUUUUUUAAGAGUGUUUGUAGAAAAAUAUAUUGUAAUGAUUUGAUAUAUAUAUAUAUAUAUAUAUAUAUAGAGAGAGAGAGAGAGAGAGAUUUGAUGUAGGCAAGUAAAAAAAGUGAUUGGAAAGUGUGUUCAAGAAAAUAGUAAAAACUUUUGGGGAAAAAAUGGCUUUCCAAACAAGGAAAUCUUCUUUGUAUAAAAAUGCUCUUCCAAAUCUGGUUAUAUUUUGAGUUUUUGUCUCCAUUCCUGCCCCUCCCCCAUCUUCCUGUAUUGCCUCGUUGGAUUUUAGCUGGUUAGACAAACCAAUUUCAUGUACAUGGCCGAGGAAAUUGCUGCUUAGUUCAAAUAUUAUUUACUGAAGGUUCAAAUUCUGAGUAGUGUAGGAUUUUCAGCUAAAACAGCUUGCUAAAAUUAUUGUCAUUGAUUAACAUGGUGUCUUCUUACCCUAUUUUUUCCCACCAAUUCAAGACUCGACUAAGUUGAAUAAUCACAUGACUUGGAUGCCUUAGCAUAAAAGGCUAAUCGAAGGACGUUAAUGGACAUCAGAUAGGGUACAGGGGAAAAAAAUGAAAAUUUUGGACAACCCAAGGAGCAGGUAAAGGCCAAAACUUGCACCACACCAGAUCGUGUCACGCCACUUAGUGAGAUAGUGUGCCACAAUCUAGGUCAUUGGGUGUUUGAAAAUCAGGUCUACCCAAACGUGAACUGCAGGUAAAAAGAAGUUAAUGUUCAUUUGCCGUUCUCUAAGAUUGUUUCUUGUUCAUAAGAUACAUUUUGUUCCAGCUGCAUGAGGUUCUUCUAUUUUAUUUUUAUCCAUUGAAAGUACAAAAUAUGGGUUCAAUACCACUUUUUGCUAAAAAUCUAGAUUAUUGCAGAGUACAAAACAAGUUUAAUUGGGAUUGAGAAAUUUGAUAAAAGAUUUAAAAUCUACUCAUAUGGCUGCAAUUGUUCAGAUUACUUAAAAGGCAUUUGGAUUUGUAAGUUACCAAUUAUCUAAAUAAUUACAAAUCUAAAUACCUGUUAAAUAAUCUAGACAACAAGAAAGACUUGAGAGGAUUUCAAAUUUUUUGUCAAAUUUCUCAAUCCAAACAUAGAAUAUUGGCUGUGGAGAAAAGCUCAUUUAGGUACUUGUCAAGUCAAUCUUUAUCAAAUUGAGUGAAAUUUUGAGUGAUUAAUUUUUAGUUGAAAUUGAGCUUUAAUUUUACACUUGACUCUACUUGAUGAAUCCUAGUUGCAUAUUGCAUCAUGUCCCUGUUUAAAUAAUUAAUCGCAAUUCAAGGUAACUCGCGAGCUAAACAGAAACGAUAUGCUUAAAAGAAAGUGUUAAUAUCUGAUUUUAUGAUGGUUCAAAAUUACAGUGGUUCAAAUAGUCAUUGCGGUUCAGAACAUAGUCAAAAUUCGAUUUUAUAUAAAUAAACUACACAAUAAUAAGAAUUACUUUUUCUUUCCAGGGAUGGACUACUCUGCUUCAGGUGUCUUUAGGCGAAUUUCUCGAAAUAAUGUUAAAAUAAAAAAUUAUCACAAAAGUGGUGUUAAUUGAGGGGUGUGUUUGCUUGAAGGGUCACCGCAGAUAAGAAGUGAGGCUUUAUUAAAAAAUUGUUUUUAUUUUUAAUUUUUUUUGCCGACAAAGUUAAUAGAGCGGAUAUAUAUAUAUUUUUUUGGAAAAGCUUCGGCGCUCGCGAAAUGAGCGGUGAAGAAUAUUACUCCCUCCGUCCCUUAAAGUCUGUCGCGCUUGGGAAGCAGCGCUUUUUAUGCACAGUAAAAUCCACUUGUUUUUAAACCCAUGGGUUCCAAAUUUGCCCUUCACAUUCACGAUAGACUCAAGAAAUAAAUGGGUCAAAGAGGGACCCAUCAAAGGCAUUCCAUUGUUUCGGCUACCAAAAACAAAAGCUCAUUUCCUUAUCAAAAUCUUCUUCAUCCAAAGCAAAUGGGUCAAAAUGGGACCCACCAAAAACCAAUCUUUUGUUUCAGCCACAAAAACCGUUUCCUUAUCAAUUGCUGCCACAGAAACUGUUUCCUUCUUCUAGCAGACAUUCAUCACCGCCUACUACUAAAAUCUUCUCUGAUUCUCCGUCGUUAGCCAUUCUUCAAUUGCUGCAAAUUUAAGCUACGAUAAUUUCUCUGGAAUAACUACAAAUUCCCUCUUUUCAUACUCCAUAUUCACUUGAAAGUUUUCACCUUUGAUUACAAUAUUGGAGCUCCAAUUCAAGAGAGAAGCAUUGGAAGGAUAUGAAGUUGAUUGCUAAUCCAUCGUUGAUAACAAAUGAGAUUAAAAGGUUAGUUAACUGUCUUCUAUUCUUUCUUUUUAAUGGUUUUUUUCUCUUUUCUCAUGUAAGAAAGGCUGGAUCUUUUAAACUUUUGUAAUGUUUAUUUAUUGAUUAUUUUGUCUAUAAUUUCUUAAAGAUUUGCCGCCAAAUUAUUUACUGAAAAUUUGGAUUUUGGCGGAUUACUCCAAAAAUAAGUCUUGAAAUGCCUAUUUUAAAAUAUUUAAUGGAAUUGUACACUAAUUUGUACCUCUAUAUAUGCAGUCCGUUUGUUUCGUUUUAACACUCUGUUUCUUUUUUUUUUACACCAUGUUUCAAAGGUGAUUCUUAAAAGAAAUAUGGAUACUUUUAAUGAUGUUGAAACUAAUAAUUCUACAAAGAGAUUGACUAAUCAAGAAAGGCAAAUGAUUUUUGAAGCUUUAUUACAGGAAAGUAAUGGUGGUAAAUUGAAAAGGGGAACCAUCAGGAACAUUGCAAGCCUAUUUAAAACAAGUGUUAGGACAGUUCAGAGAAUUUGGAAGCUAGCAGCAAUUACUUCUACAGAUGGAAGAGUUGAUGUAUCACGCAGAUUUUCUAAAAGAUGCGGAAGAAAACGAGUGGAUAUUGAUUUUACUUUGAUCAUGGCAAUUCCUCUCCGGCGUCGGACAAACAUCAGGUCACUUUCCAGUGAAAUGAAAGUGUCCAAAUCAACCCUUCACCGACGAAUUAAAGAAGGUGCUAUAAGGCCACACUCAAAUGCACUCAAACCACAAUUGACAGAUCAGAAUAAGCAAGUAAGGCUUAACUUUUGCUUGUCAAUGCUUGAACCAGAAAGUCUCAACAGCAAUCCAACAUUUAUGAGUAUGUUCAAUGUUGUGCAUAUUGAUGAAAAGUGGUUUUACAUGACUAAAGAAUGUGAAAAAUAUUAUCUUCAUCCUCAAGAAGAAGAACCUCUUAGGACAUGUAAGAGCAAAAAGUUCAUUGUGAAAGUUAUGUUCCUAGCUGCUGUUGCUCGACCACGUUUUGACUGCUCUGGUAACCCAACAUUUGAUGGGAAAAUUGGGAUUUUUCCUUUUGUAUUCAAAGAACCAGCAAAGAGGAGUAGUAAAAAUCGUAUGGCAGGUACAUUAGAAACUAAGCCAAUAUUGUCAGUGACCAAGGAAGUAUAUAGGAGAUGUUUAAUUGAACAGGUUUUGCCUGCAAUACAUGCUAAAUGGCCACGGGAUGGUGGUAGUGUUACUGAAAUUUUGAUCCAACAGGAUAAUGCAAAACCACAUAUUAAUCCCACUGAUCCGGUAUUUAUUGAAGCUGCUUCUAGAGAUGGAUUUGAUAUUCACUUGUCGUUUCAGCCUCCUAAUAGUCCGGACAUGAAUGUUCUUGACUUGGGAUAUUUUAGAGCUAUACAAUCCUUGCAACAUCAAGAAGCACCCUUGUCAAUUGAUGAGCUAAUUCUUGCUGUGGAAAAGUCAUUUGAUGAAUUAUCAAGUGAAAGUCUAAACAAUGUUUUCUUAACAUUGCAAUCAUGUAUGGUAGAGGUGAUGAAAAAUCUUGGGGGAAAUAACUAUAAAGUGCCACACAUUGGGAAGCACUAUUUAAUGAAAGAAAGUUGUCUUCCACUGCAAAUAGAAUGUGAAAAAGAACUUGUGAAUCAAGCUCUAAGUCAUAUGCAAGCAUGAUUAUCUUCAUUGGACAGGUAAGAUUUUAUAAAGCUUUUUUUUUUUAAAGAUUUUUUUAUCUCUAAUUUCUUGUGUGUAUGGUUGUUUAAACUAACUAGUGUUCCUUAUUUUCAUAUUUGUAGGUACUUAAACUUUACUAAUCAUGUGUUUUGAACAAAAUGGUAUGGGUGUUCUAAUGUGCAAAAUGUACAUGUACUCAAUGUUCAUUUGUCUAGCUAUUCUUGUUCACUUUGCUCUGGAGCAUCUUUAUUUGUUGUUUAUCACUUAAUUGUGUCCUAUCUCAUCUUUUGGCAGAUGGUUGAAGUCAAGCAAUCCAACCCUUUUGAUUUUGUGAUGCAAGCUUUUGAUUGGGCAAAGAAUAUAGAAGCACUUUUAUGUACUAGUGGUUUUUCAUUGACUGCUUUUAUUUCACUUUACAAGAUUUUAGAAUAGCUCAGUCAAGUUAGCUUGACGUUAGUAGUAGUAGUGCUGAUUUUUGUACAAAAGGGAAAAUGUGCAAUGCUGAGUGAAGCUAUGUACAUGUAUAAACAUUGAAACACUACUUUUGUUGGAGUUUUUGAAACUGUCAAUAGCAUUAUUCUAUAAAGGGGAAAUAGUGCAUAUUGGUUUGCAUUCUUUUGCUAUUUGGUGGUAGAAUAUCUGUUUUUGCAUUUUUGAGUUUUGAAACAUUAAAAAAAAAAGAGAGGAACUGACACUUCCAUAGACUACGUUUAAAUUAAAUUUGGUAGUGAGUGUAGUUUUUUUUCUCCAAGUAGAGUAACAUGCCUUAUUAUUUUGCUCAUUUAGUUUUUGGGUCAAUCUAAAAUUAUUCACCUAUUUUUUACACUAUUUUCUUGCUUUCAAUAUGAAUUUAUUUUGUGAAAGUUGAUCAUUCUUAAAAAAUUAGUGCGUAUGAAAAUAAUUUAAAAAUUGAAAGCUUUCAAAAGAAAAUCACUAAUUAAAUCAUCUCGAUAUUCUAUUUCCUGCAAAAAAUCGAAAUGAUCCUCUUGAUAACAAAAUCAGUUUUCAAUUGAAGUUUAAAAGAGCCAUGUGCACAUUCUUGAUGAUGAAUUUGGCUGGAGUCGGAACUUUGUUGCUGGAGCCGAAAGUCAAAUAUGGUACAAGUUGGAAUAUUUGGAUGUCCUUUGGGACCACACAUCAAUAUGUGGGCCAACUAGCACAUGCAUUAUCACACUAUUAAUGGAGGGCAGAAAUGGAAAUUCAUAGCUUAAAAUAGUUUGAAAUGUCAAACAUGACAAAUAUUUCGGGACAGCCCAAAAAGGAAAGUAUGACACUAUCAAUGGGACGGAGGGAGUAUAUUAGAAACGAAUUGCAGCAAAGCUCAGGUGCGGCGAUUCCUUUGUUAAGCCGUUAAAAAUUCGUUAAGGUUACAAUUGAAAAUACAAAACUAAUUAAAAAUGAAAUUUGGCCAAAUCAUCCAUUUUUUAAUACUUUGGUUUUAUCACUUCGUCAUUAAAUGCAACGUAAAAUUCAGACUUUCGGGUUGAUCCUCAAGCAAAGAACAAAGAUCUCCGCUGAGGCGACGUAAGUAUUCGAUUUAGAAAGCUAGGCCGCGUUGAUUCUGAGAAUUACUAAAGGGAAAAAAUGAAAAAAAAAAAGGUAGCUAGCGAAAAGAUGAAGGAUAGCAACUGCUAAUCCAUGGAAAAUUAGUGGAGAGAAGCGUGGAUGUUGGAGGACUUUCAGCAGAAGCAUGAUUUAGGAGGGCCUCCAUUCAGAUGCAGUGAGCAAGCACAGGUCCCUCCACCCAAGCUUGAGGGUGCCGUUGUCCUCAACACCCAUCUCAAGGAAACAUUCCAAGCAAAAUGGUGGCCUAGGCUGCAGCAUUCCCUCCACACACACACACAACGCCCCCCCCCAACACCCAAACAAACAAAAAACACAAAAACAAAAGAGCUACCCUUGAAGCCUGCUGCUGAAGCAUCUGCCUCCAAUUGUUGAACUUGACGUCGCUGCUUCUUGACCGACCACCAACAGCUAGCACAUUCCGUAUCUCCCUCGACAGGAGUUGCUGCUCCACUACUUGCCUUUCUUCACUCUCCUCCCCGUAGCAGGCACCCAGCGAGUCGAACAAUGCCGAGUAAUAGUGUAUUGCCUCUACGAAUUUUCCCAAGUAUAUUGCCGAGUAAUAAUUGUAUCUUCCCAAGUAAUAGUUGGUGUAUUGCCGAGUAAUAGUUGUAUCGUUUGACCAGUCAAAAAAACUUUCCUCUAUCGCCGCAAAUGUCCAAAUUUGCGGGUAAUGAAAAAUUGAUCAUCACCCAACGUCACAGUUUGGGAUCCUCUAUGUCACUACUCGUACUAAAUUCGGUGUCAAUUCCACUUAUCACAUGAUGAUAGAAGAAAUUUAAAUAAACAGUACAUGACAAAUUAAAUAAACAGAACACUUGGCAUAAAUAUAGAAGUGGCACUGAACUGCCACGGGAAAAAUGUCAUUAAGGAUCCCGUAUGCAUCAGAUGUGCGGUGAAAGAGAAAACUUUUUCAAACCAACGCAAAUCAGAUGUGCAGUUAAGGAAAAAAAUAUUUUAAUUCGUUAGUCACAAAUUAGUAUUGGGGCAAAUGAUUUAAAAAACAUUUUUUUCCUAUUCCUUCAUAUCACGACCCUUGAUCAUAUGUUAGUCAACGGUCCAUCUUUGGUUAAAAUAAAAAAUGCAACAGAAAAUCUUAACUUCAAAAAUUCUUAAGUCGUGGAAAAAAAUGAAAAAAUAAAUCGAACAACCUUUAAGUCCAUAUUGUGACUUGCGGCGACCCUUAUGAUAGAAACACUCCCUACAAAACACUACUUUUGUAAUAAUUUUUUAUUUUAACAUUAUUCUGAGAAAUUCGCCACAUCAUUGUAUCAAACUAUAUCUCGCAAUUCUUUUUUUUUUUUUGGAGUUCUUGGAUGCCUUUACUUCAGGUGCUUUUGAAAUAUUAUAGGUAAAAAUUAUUAGAGGAAGCACGAAUAAUUUACAAAUUAUUACUUCUAGAACAAAAGCACUUCCGUGACAGGUACAAGUAAACUGGCCCUCUAUUCGGCCUUAAUUCCGAGCCGAACGUACCAUGAAAAGCGGUACGCCGGAUACGGGGCAGGAGCUGUCGUCAGGCCGACCGCUCCUGAACGGUCUCCUCACAAUCAAAAACGUGAGGAGACAAAUGAGCCAAGUCAGCAAGACUUUCUCUGGGGUAAAACGACGCCUGUUGAGGAGAAACGGGAAAAACAAAAAGAGAAAGAGUUGACGGACCGUUUCAUGAAACGUUGGUCUGUUCCCGCCCAAGUGAACCCUCAAAACGAAAAGGUAAGUCGCACUCCCUCCAAAAUAGUUGCCCAUAUUCGUUGAUGCACAAUUGUAAAAACAAAGCAAGAAAGAAAAGUAAGGGGAAAAUAACAUCACAGAAUUGGAAAUCACCAGGUAGUAUACAAGUGAUAGGAAGAAGUAGUAGAAAUAGAGUGGGUGCGAAGGAAAAUCACGGUGAGGAGAAACAACAAGUAGUGGCAGAAGGAAAGAGUUUAGGAUUGGUACUCAAAUUUUAGAGCGGUUGAGAAAGGUGAACGGGAAACCAACGAAGUACAAGUUUGGGAGAUCCGGAGAAGAGACAAAGCAAAAAAAACACAGGUAAGAAAACAUCAAUGGUAUCAUAUAAAUUGUGGAUCGAUUUGACUUGUAGUUGGGUUUUGUUGCAUACAUCGUUGUGAACAAGUGGGUUGAUUAUACUUGUUGCAGUUUUGGUUGAAAUAAUUGUGUAAUACAAUGGAAAAUGGAUAACAAACUGGAACCUUCGGUUGCACAUAAUAGGUAUUAUAACUACCAACAUGGGGGGAAGAAAGGUAUUGGAAAUUUUGCACACCAAGUGCUUGCAAAAUCGCGUGCAUGGGUUGGGGAUUGUUAUGGUUAUUGUGCAUGAAGUUGGUGUAGGCUUUGUUACGUAAUGCUUCCUGAGUGGAGACUAAACAUGAUAUGGGAUUCUACGAUGGUACAUACUAUUAAGGGAGACAUACAAAGUGAAGUGAAAUGGUUACAAGAUAUUUCAUUUAAGGGCGUCGUUUAUAGCAUGUUGGAAAUGUAUUAAUUUAUGUGAAAGAAUACUAACACGGAGUGAAAUUGUUAUGCAGAUGUAGAGUGAAAUCCCUUAAUUGAAUGAAAUUAAAUCAAGGUCCGUCUACCAAAUAAUAGAAGGAAAUAGAAUAAAAAAGUAUGAAAUGAGAGGGGCUAGGGAGAUGAACAUGCGUACAAAGCAUGAAUGUGAUGCUUCAUUUUUUUUACUUCAUGCUAUAAACACAAGAAUGAAUAGAAAAGAAAUGAAUAGUGGAUCGCAUCGAACUUGAUAGGUAGGAGAGUAUUUUGAAUUUCAAGAAUGAUAGGUAGAAUAAAUAACAAACUAUGUAGUUUGGCAUACUUAGUGUCGAAAAAAGGUUAGGAGUCAUGAUAGAUAUUGUGUUUGGACAUGAAGUUGGAUAACUAUUGCAUGCAAUGAGUCAACGGUGACACCAUCAGAAGUGGUGUGUGAAAAUGUCACAAAAUUAUGCGAAUUUGGCACCCUGUGUUUGUUACUUUAUUGAAAUUGUACAAUAGCACGGGGAGUAGAAGAAGAAAUCGCUUGCAUCGAACACGCUAAGUAGGAUAGAAGAUUAUAAUUUGACAAUAAUAGGUAGAAAGUAUGCCAAACUGUGCAGUUUGGCAUACUCAAUGUGGAAACAAGUUUACAAGUCUUGAUAGAUAUUGUGUUUGCACAUCAUGUUGAAUAACUCGUUUAUGCAAUGAGUCACUAGUGACACAUUGAGAAUGGUGUGUAAAAUUGCGCUAACAUAAUCUAAAAUUGCAAGAAAGUGAUUGUCACUCCACUGGAAUUGUAUACUAGCAUAGUGCUUAGAUAGACAAGUUUAUUACAUGAAACUCAAUAAGUAGGAGAGUAUGUUAUAAUUUGACAAUGUGUGACAGAAAAAAUAACAAAUUGUGAAGUUUGGCAUACUUUACGAAUCUUGUUAGUUAAUGUGGGUGCACAUAAUGUUGGAUAAUUGUUACACGCAGUGAUGCAGUAGUGACACUAUUAGAAGUGUUCUAUGAAAUUGGCUGAACAUAUUUUGAAAUUGUUCCACGGGUUUGGUACUUCAUUCGUAUUGUUGAAUAGGGUGAUAAAUAAAGGAGAAGGGGAUUGCAUCAAACUCGAUAGGUAGGAGAAUAGAUUAUGGUAUGAUUAAAUGAGGCAUAAGUAACAGAAAAUUUGGUGAUGUGGCAAAAAAAUUGUGAAAAGGAAGAUUACUAGUACAGUAAUUAUUGUGGUUGGACAUCAUGUUUGAUAGUUGGUACGCACAAUAGGUCAGAAGUGACAGUAAUACAACUGGUCUCUAAAAUUACAUGAAGAUACUGUAAAAUUGGUUGCUUCCUAUUUCUACUGCAUUGGUAUUGUAUAAUAGCAUGAUAAAUAGAAGAAGAAGUUGAUCCGAAGUAGAAGUUGAUAGGUAGGACAACAGAUUAUGUAGAUUUGUGGUAGUUGAAAUAAAUAACAAAUUGUGAAGAAUGACUUAUUCAGUGUGGGAAAAAUUGUUACAAGUUGUAUUACAGCUAGUGUAACUAAUAUUUGAUGCUCAUAUAUUAUGCUUAGCAGUACUUCAUCAUAUAUUAUGCCUGUGGCUGGAAAUGAAAUUUUGGAACUGAAGUACAAUUUAUUUGUAAAAAACAUUAGUUUACAUGGCAAGAACGCGAACAGGAAGCAGACUUUAGGAAGGAGACAGAGAAGAACUCGCUGAAACAAUUGGUGGUACAGAACACGGGACACCACCCAAUUCAUUGAAUAGGUAAGUUGCCAAUGCUUAUGUAUAGUCGUGGCAGGUUAGAUUUGUCAUCAUUAUAAUGUAUUAUAAUGUUGAUUAUGCAGGGUCCGGAUAGGAAGGAAAAGAACCAAUAAAAGGAAUGAUCGUUUAGAUGGAGAGGAAGAAAUGCAGACAGCGGAAACAAGCGAGGUUGCAGAACCAGUCCCACCAUUGAAUCCACGGAUGAAGUUCAGGUAAAAUCAUUGAAUUUGAGGAAAAAAUAAUGCUAUUAAAUAACACAAAUAACUUUGGAAUUUUGAAUAUGGACAGUAAGAGUGCUCACCUCGGCAGUACCUUGUUGCCGAGGUGACCUCAUUUCGUCUCCUACACGAACACAGCCGUUCCCCGAUCCGGACCCUGAGCUCGGCUCGGUCCAUGGUCUCCUACUCGGAUGACCUCUACAUCCCAGGCUGUCACCUCGGUUAGGUGCUGAUGACGUAGACACCCCUGACAACACCCAGGACCAGUGCUUUAUCUGAAAAACACUGGGUGAUCUUAAUGACCACUGCGCAGGACCCCCGUCAUCCAACCCAGGCAGCUACAGUGUCAGAGCCAGGCCCCUGGCAGGGAACAGAGCCGUAAUGUCAGGACAUGGGUCCCACUAGCAUGAACCCUCCGUCCUGACCUCUACUCCCACUCUAUAAAUGCCCCUCCUGUGCAUUCCGCAAGUAAGCAUACUGUUCAUUUGACAAUACUAUUGCUUUUCUCUCGUUCUCAUACUAACUUGAUCGUCGGAGUGAUCCCAGGGGAGAAGCCCCGCCAUUCACUUCGGACACGAGGAUACACCUCACUUCAUCUCAGAGGAGCCUGAUUCUGGUCGGUUCAACUACCCACCAAAAAUCACCUCUUCAGACAGGAAAGAGUAUCAACGCACGGUUUCGGCAAAAGGUGUUAAGUUGACAGAGGUAUGCUGUCCUAACAAAAUAAACACUACAAUCAUUGAACUGAUGGGCUGCCUAAGGAAAAAUAAGUGAAGCGAGCAAUUGUUUUAUGUUUUAGUUUAACGUGUCUUUUGACUUUGAUUAUUCAAUAUAGUACAAUGACAUUGUCCGGGCAGCAUAUAAUAAGUUGAGUGAGGAAGAAUUGAGCAAACAAAAGGAGGAGUAUUUGAAAGAGAAAGAAGAGUACGAGAAAGAAAUGGAAUGUCUUGGAAAGCCGAUAGUGCGAAAGGCACGGGUUCAGAUUAAGGUAAAUACACGUCACGAUUCGUCAAACACUUAAUCAAACUUCUCGAUUUUUCUAAUGCAUAUAUCUAAAAAAUGGUGUAGAAUCGGAAGUACACUAUACGUUGCUCGUCAAAGCAGAUGUCAAGCUUAGUUUCACGAAUCGAUGAAACAAAGAAGCAACAAAUUAGAGACAUAGGAUUUGGAGGACUGCUAGACAUACAGUGUCACUGGAUUUCUAGUGGCAUAGCUACCUGGCUCGUCGAUAACUUUAAUCCGACAUUAAGCAGUUUGAAUGUACAUGGAGAUGGUGUACUGCCUUUAACAUCAAAGAAUAUUAGUUUAAUCCUGGGGAUCCCAAACGAAGGUCCCGUUCCAAUUGAAGACACUGAUACAACCGAGGUUGGGGGAACUGGACCAAGUCGUAGGACAUACAAAUGGAAAGAACUGCCGAAUGAGUUAGUAGCCAUGAAUGCAGGGGAAGAAUUUAUACGACUAUUUGUUGCAUUUGCUUGUGGAUGUCUACUGGCUCCAAGUAUUAGAGCCGAGCACAAAAUAAAGCUUUGGACGUGUACGCAUUUGGUUGAUAGGAUGGCUACAUUGAACUGGGUUGAGUAUGUCAGGAUCGUACUGUGCAAUAAGGUGCUAGAGGUGCAAAAGAAAAGUGAAAAGCAGCACCAAUACGUUGGCGGUUGCAUCUUCGUUCUGCUGGUAAGAUUAGGUAGUUGUAGUCAUGAUUGAAGCAUGCUUUAAUGGUUAGAUAAUGCACCAGAGAUUAAUCACUUUUGAGUGUAUGUAAACUAUUGUAUGCAUUUUCAUGUUAUGUUGAAUUUAGUGCGACGGAUUGAUUAGAUUAUGCUCAAAUGAAUGUGUGUACAACGAUGUUCAUGUGCGGUAAAGUUUAUCUAUAGUUGAAUUAAUUGCUCUAUUGUAUUGCAGAUUCAUUAUCUUGACUGGGUACAAAUACUGAAGCAUAAAGUGCCAAGGACUACGCCACGAGCAACAGCAUGGACAGAUGCUCUAAUCUUUGAAAGGGAUGCAUUGGAGAUUAGAAAUCUUGGGGCUUAUGGAAAAGAAAAACUGGUAACAUGUUAUUUAUUGUUUACCUCAUUUCAUAUAAAAGGUAUUGGUGUAUGUAUUACGUGACUUUGGUAUUGAAAUGGUUGGUUUAAUUUGAUAUUAAAGGUUGGACGAAAUGAUCCGGAAGAGAAUGAAUAUGGUGCGUGGAGUACUGAACUACACCCUGAUUUGGUAGGGAUGAUGAUGAACAGCGGGCAUGCCGAUAUCGGUGUAAGUGGACCUGUUUCAUGGUUAGCGAAAUUUAUUGUUUGGUUUGACGUAAUUACUGCAUAUUAAAAAUUAAUACAAAAUUACAUAUUUGAAUGCUGUUAGUUACGACGUGUUUGAAGGUUGUUACAAAUUAGUUAUUUAAAAGUUACAGUGUGUUCGAAAACUAUUACAAAAUAGUGAUUUGGAAAGUUACAGUUUAAAAAUUAAUACAAAACUCCAUAUUUGAAAACUGUUAGUUACGAAAUGUUUUAAGGUUGUUACAAACUAGUUAUUGGAAAGGUACAGUGUGUUCAAAAACUGUUACAAAAUAGUUAUUUGGGAAGUUACAGUGCAAAAUUAAUACACAAUUUCAUAUUUGAAGACUGUUAGUUACGACAUGUUUGAAGUCUCCUCACAAAAUAGUUAUUGGGAAGUUACAGCGUGUUUGAAAACUGUUAUAAAAUAGUUAUUUUAGCAGUUAUAGUGAGGUUUAAGACUGGUACAAAAUAGUUCUUGGGAAAUUAUAGUGUGUUUGAAAAUUAAUACAGAACUGUUUGAAAAGUGUUACAAAAUGAUUUACAAUUUGUUACACAACAACAAAAAAAUUGCAUUUGAAAUGCAUGUUCUUUGCUUUUUAGGAGGCCUUGAUAUUGAGAUAAAACACAAGUCUACACGUGCAACAAAGAAGAGCAUCGUUCUGCGAUCAGCGGAGUACAUUCUACUAGCACGUGUGACAGUAAGUAUGUAUGAAAAAAAUGUGGCAGCAUAUGCAUGGGACCCUGACAAAAAUUUCAAGUAAGAUUCUUGACAAAACUAUUAAUUCGACCUUGUUAUCCAUUCACUUCAAUAACUACGUAUGUGGUUCAUUGUAAGAUGGCACAGGAAAACUGUAUGAAAAUGGAUGAGCAUUGACUUCAUAUACAUUACAUAUCUAUUUGUUGGAAUACGAAUAUUAAUUAUUAGUAAAUCGUUAAAUUGUGUCCCGGAUCUGAUAGGGACAUACUUAUUCAAAUGUUUCAAUUCUCGCUGACACGGCUUGACUUGAAGACACUUGAAAAUGGCAUGCAUGUGUCGAAUCGGGUCAGUAGUUUAUUACGUUUAUUCAAAAAGUUUGAUUAUGAAUUUAUUGAUCCGAUUAGUGAUAUGUAAAUGCAAUUGUAACACUCAAUUACAUCUUUUGGACACCCUUGGAUAUUGAUUAGGUGAUUGACAUGUUUGCCCGUCUCAUGAAUUGGGGUGGAAGAACUGCCAAAAGUAGGAAGCUUGAAUGCUACAUCGUUGAACCUCUCGCUGUUGUGAGUUUGAAAUUUGGACUGCAUCCUAUUAUGUGUUACAAUUUUUUCUGCAUAAUAUCUAAAUUGGUAUUACGAGCCAACGCACUAUUACUGAUGUCAUCUACACUGCUCCUACUCGCCCAUGUUAUUGGUUGCAGGAAGAAAUUUUAAAAAUGGAAAAAAUUGACAAGCUGUCUAAUGCCAGCUUAUUUGCUAAACUGAAAAAGCUAUUCAAAGUUUGCAAUAACAAUACGGGGGUUGAUCCCGCGAAUUGUAAUUGGGUAUGCAAUUACCACCUUUAACCGAAGGCUUUUUUUUAUUAGAUAUUGAAUAUCCAAAAAUGUAGAAUCAGGUUACAUACCUUUUGUGUGUUACCUUUUUUAUACCUCAUUCGUUUCAGAUACUUGUGCCAGUAUGCACAGAGGGGUGUUGGUUUGUCUACAGCUUUGAUGUCUCACAGAGAGAAGUGCACCUGCUAGGCCCUAAUAGCGAUCAAGCAAAGAGCAAAGACAUUAGUGUACUGAAUCGACUGGUUUGUUGGACUGUCACCUAAAUGCAUUACAAGAGAAGAGGAUGACACAUUAGUGCUUCUAAUCUGUUUUACAUAAUCUUUGGUGCUACAGAAACGUGCUCUGGGGUUGGUCGUGGCGACAAAGUUUGGCAAGAAAAUUGACUUCUCCAGUUUCUCGGAGGCACUUGCCGAUGUACCUUAUCACUCAUCAAAUAAAGUGUAAAUAGUUUCACUUCUCACACCAUUAUUGUUAGAGAUCCAAAUAUUUUAUUACAACACAUAUACUCUAAUUGACUAAUGAGAAGAUAACAUGAACAGAUGUGAUAGUGGUGUCUUUAUUAUGACAUUCUUAGAGCAUUGGAGCGGAAGGUUGGCUGUUCGGCUUACAGAGGUAUUACAAUGACACAACCUUUUUUUUCUAGUUUACAUCUGAAAUUGUGGUUUAUAGUUGUUGCCUUUGCUUUCGAAAAUAUUUAUUUCGUUUAAAUUGGAUAGGAAAAUGUUGGGAAGUAUCGAGUGCUGUACACAGCUCGAUUGUGUACCUCAGCGGAGAACUCUAAGUUUCCGGAUAGCUUUGCAAACCUACAAGUACCAAAACGGGCGCAGUGACUCUGUUGGUAUUGCCUGAACUUCAGUUAGUCAGAUGUGACUGUAGUUGGACAAAAUUGGAUGUUCUUCCAUUUGUACAUUGUUAUGUGUCUAAUGUAGCUUUUGAAUUGGUGUAGACUACGUUUUGGGGUAUAUUGACAAGGACCAUAUUAACCUUAUUGUAGAUUAAUAGAACUUUUAAUUUGACAGUCAUCAUAUGUACAUAAGUGUACCUGUUGUUAAAUUUCGAUGAUGAACACAUUGCAGUAUGGGGUCCAUAGAUGUCUCCCCAUAAAUUAGGGACCGAAGAAUAGCUUUCGUAGUUUGGACCGAAGAAUAGCUUUCGUAGUUCAAUAUUUGUUACAAAGAGUAAAUAUAAAGUUACAACAGAGCACAUAUAAAGUACGGAGUCCAUACAACAUCCUUCAUAUAAACUUGGACCCAGUAUGGGGUCCAUACAGGUCACGUUUGGACCCAAGAAUAGCUUUCGUAGUUCAAAAUUUGUUACAUUGAGCACAUAUGAAGUUAGUGCACGUGCAUUGUUAUACAACAUCGACCCGAACAUAUCGACUAACAAAUAGGUUUUAUAAAAUUUGUUUGCAUUAUUAUCAUAGUUAUUGGGAACAGAACAUAUGUGGCCUUAGUUACACUGCCUUUUCUGUAUUUUUAACAACAAAAUCGACUAGGAUUCUAUGACUAAUCUUUUAAUGCAAACUAAGUAAUUAUAGAUGUUAUUUGUUUGUAAGUUGACCUUUUACCAUGACCACUUAAUCUCAAACGAUGGCACGACUAAUUAAGUUGAAGGAUUGGUGAAUGUUACAAUUACAUAGUAACUUAGUCCAAAAUUUAAGUUCAGAUUUUACGAGACAUACCCUUUUAAUACAUAGGAGUCUUUACAUAAUCUUUGGUUCUAAAUUUUACUUUUAUCACGAACGCAUACCCUUUUGUUUGUUGAAGCAAGCAGGACCAAACCUUAUCCUCUAACCUAAUUUUACAGAUUUCAAGAGUAAUUACUUACAUAAACAAAUUGAACCUGGGCACGAUUACAUUAUUCGUAACUAGUUGACCAACAAAUAUUAAAUACUAAAGCACAUUCGUAACACUACAGUAACUCAUCGUAACACUGUUCGAAUGUCUUGUAAUGCCGCUUUCACGGUUUGUACGUAAAGACUUGCAGCAAGGUUGACUCCAUGGUUGCUAGUUUAUAAUCUCUGGAGCCACAUAUUAACUGCCACCCUUGUGAUACUCACCCAGUGAACCCACAACCAUUACUUUAUCCUCUCAUACCCAUAUUCUCUCAUACCCAUUACGUUGACCCCUGAUAUUUUAGGACAUUGGGAGGGUCCUGCGGACUAUAAAAGGGCGCGGUUGCAGUUUUAUAUCCCACAACAACAAAAGUUUGGUUGUAACGCAUUCUGUACGCUUCGUUAUGAAUACUUGUUGUAUUAUAAAACUUAGUUUUAACUGCUAGAAAUUAGCCUAUCCCUUGUACUAUCAUUUUUUUCUGUAAAACUAUUACCUUCCCAUUAUUGGCCUGAAAGUUUAUUUGAUCAUAAUUCAAUUUGAAAGAUUCUUAUAAAAUCUAUCGAAAUGCCUGUAGUACAUCAUUACAAAUGGUGCAAACCGUUCGUUCUGAAAAUCUGACCCGUAUGUAGUGCCAAAAGUAAUUUUUUUGGUGACUAAAUGUCACAUAAUAAUUCAGCAACGCAUACUUAUUCAAAAUAAUAAUAAUUUGUAAAGGCCGAUUGCUAUAUGAUACAUCUAACCAUUCUAAGUGUCAUCAGCGAGCAAUAAAGAUGUUAUUUACUGUUGUUACUGAAUGCUGGACAAUGGUAUAUAUAUCACAACAGUAAUUUGUUAUGGUAUUCAAUGAAAAAAUACCAUAAACAUAGCGAAGCACGUUCAAUCGUAUUGUUACUCUAAUUUUCAGUAAACUUUAUAAAUUCUUAAUAACUUUACACAACACAUUACAGAAUACUUGAUGACUAUUAACACUAGACAUUAUUAUAAACUUUCUAUCCACUUGUCUAAAUUUGAACACAGUGAAAUAUUGAAGGUGCCUGUACAAGCACAUGAAUAACUUGUAACACCUUAUUAACUGCUUGUAACGUAGAUAUUCAGCAUUCCCAACCAGGACGACAUGGAGGUCCAAUCACAACUGAGCUUCCAAAAACACCGCAAAUCUCGUUCAAGACAUGCACUAAUUCAUUUCCAGAUUGUCUAUUAAAAGAAACUCACAAUAGCGAAGCGAUUGAAACUGAACAAUAUCUUCAACAGAGAAGUACUAACACCAAAAAAUGAGGUCAACUUGAUGAAUGGAUAAUUAGAACUCAAUAGUUUGGUCAACCAAUUAAUGUGUCAUUAAAAAAUUAGAGGUACACAUAAUUCAUCAACCUGCCUCUGAGGUGUGGCGACGUCAACAGUUAGUCGCAAUCCCCGGGUGUUAUUUCUUUUCUGAAAUGUGUAACGAUGGCAAAUCAGCUAAUACACCUAAUGGUACAUACGGUUAAUAAUAUACGAUAUCCAAGUCGCCAAAUAUCCAAUUAACAGUACUACAUAAAGAUGUGAUGUAAUGAUAAAAGUUUGUCACUUGUGGUGAUGGUGAAAAUACAUGAUAUCCAUCAAUAUCACAGUGUGUUGAAAUUGCCGCACGCUCCUCCUACAUGAUAUAAAAUAAAUAUUCAACUGUUAACAAAUCAUUACCAGUACCUAUAUUUCUCGGUUCAAAAGUUAAAUUGGAGUAGACAUUAUAACAAGAAACGAUAUAUCAAACCGUUAAUAUAUCUCUGACGGAGUUAUGUUUGGAAAAAAUAGAAAAUUUGGGAUGCAUCCAUUCUGUAGGGACUAUUGCAGGAGGCCCCUGAUUAGCCAAACGGUGAACCUUCGGAUAAUACAAAACAUUAUGUUAUAGAAACAAGCAUACGUUAACUGAAUAAUAUACAUGCUUUCAAGCGUCCAGGUGUCGACCAUGACAAAACGCCUAAAGGAGUUGUACGAUACGAAUAACAAAGUUUUUAUUUUUCCUACUAAAUGUAUGCAUACCAUUUCACUUUCUUCGAUUUCGGAAGCAACAGCGUUUUGAGGGCCAUUCACUGACUGGCUCCUUGAAUGCGUCUACGAGUUUUGAAGAAUCAAAUAAUUGUAUAAAAUAGACAAAAUAAGUAUAUCAGGGAGGAUGACAGGCGUAACAAAAUUAUCACAUAAUGUAACAUCCAUAUAACGAAUUAUGCUGUUAGAAACAUCUAAAUAAAAGCUAAAGCCUUGAUCAUUUUAUACUAACCGAAACUGAGUCAGUAGAUGAACGGCAUCCCAUAAAUAUGUGUUCAUCAAAUCCAAUCGAUGUCGGCUCCGAUUCUGAGACCUGUAUAUUUGACACGACAAUAAUGUUAUUUCAUAGUGAAUGGUACCUAAACUUUACUUAACGGUUAUAUAAUAAGAAUUUUUUCGCAUAAAUAUUUACCAUCACAAAAAUUGGAUCCAUACCGUAGUCUCUGUAGUUCUUGACAAUCUAGAUUUUCUUUUUACUCUAUCAAAUUUAUCGACCCAACUUCGCAUCACUCUACUUCUCUUCCUACAGCCUCGUUUCUUAAUUUCUCUUGCGACUAUUGCCUCUCCCAUUUCAUUUACAAUUUCAAUUUUAUCCCGUUCCUCCACAUUUAGAUUUUUAUGAUUUUGUGAAGGUUGCUCUUCGCUUUCUGAGAGGAGGAGCUCAACUCUCUUUGCCAAAUCGGAUAUGAUGGUGAUUACUACUUUGCUGGUGUCCUCCGACAUUACUGCUCAAGUUGCGACCUUAAUCAUGGUUGGAGCGAGCUCCCGAUAACGAGUUGAAAUGAUUACUUUUGGAUCAGCAACAAUUUGCCAUCCUCGCCGAUCAAAACAGUCCCCAGCUCGAGCUCUUUUUGUCCAUCGCCUCUUAACGUAUUCCGGAAGAAUUGUCUUUAUGCCCACGGUAUCAAACACCUUCAACGCAUGCCCACAUAAAAUUUCUUCAUUUUCGUAUUUUUUGCAACUACAGCGUACACUUAGAUCAGUCCGAUUGAAUACCACUAUUCUUUCAGGUCCUCCAUCAUACCUCAUCACCGCAAACUGCACAAACAUCCCUGCAUCUUGUUGUCUCAAUAUAACCAUAGCUGUUGACUCACCAUAUUCAUUUUGGAAUGCAACAAUAUGGUUGGUGAAUACGUCUCUGCUGUAUGCACAAGUAUAGGUGUUUACCUCAACCCUACCAUGGGGAGUUUUUGCCUCAUUUCAUAUUCUGCAAUGAGUUCAUUAUGUCUCUUAUCAUCAAUCACCCGAUUGAAAUGUCUAAAGAACUGCACAAGGUCGUGAUCCAGUUUCAAAUGAUUUUUUAUUGCUGCAUUUAGACUGUCACUAAGUUGGGUGCUUCGCAUUCCCGCGGUCCAUCUUUCUUUCAUCAUGCACCUUGCCCAUUUAUCACGAAUUCGAUACAGCCCGGAAAGCCAUUCAUUAUUUUAAAGAUUGUGCUUCUUCACCAUCGCCUCCCACAACCUGUUGAAUUGUUUCACUUCUUCAAUCUCAUACAUGCAGGCACCAAACAUGUAUGGAAGGUCACUAUUUUCCUUGUAGUGAUUGCCAAGAUAUUUCAUAAAAUUACGUCUUAUGUGAAACGUACAUAGACCGUGAAAUGUUUCAGGUAUGACAACAGAAAGAGCGGCUGCCAUGGCGUGAUCUUGGUCGGUUAGUAUGGUACUUGGACGCUUUCCGCACAUUGCUUCUAAAAGUGUACCAAACACCCAUUUGAAAGAAUCUAUAGUCUCAUCAUACAUAAGGGCAGCACCGAAUAUCACAAUUUGCCUAUGUUGGUUAAAACUCACAAACACUCCAAGUGGCCGGUAUUCUUUAUUUGUUUUGUAGGUUGUGUCGAAUGUGACUAUAUCUCCAAAAAAGUUAUAGUCAAUUAACAUUCCUGCAUCAACCCAAAAGAUAUUCGUUAUCUGCUCUUCACAAUCCAGCUGUACGGCAUGAAAAAAAGAUGGAUUCUCGAGUGUUUGCUCUUGAAAAUAAUUCAGCAUGCUACCUGCUUCUCCGUAUUUCAAACUCCUUUCCCGUCGAGUACGAAAAUAUCGUUUCAGAUCUUCCCGAGUAUAUCCCGCAUUUUUCAAGUCACAUGCCUCCUUUCCCAUAAGUUCAUGGCUCUGUUUCAAUGAAAGCCCAGCAUCCUCGCUUAUUUCAGCUUGAAAUCCUUGAGCCUCACUCACUUUUCUUUUGUGAUGGCAUCAUGUGCGAACAUUGAGUAAUGUGUAACUCAUGGUUAUGUUCGAAAACAAGGUCAUGCACACGGUACUUCAUUGUCCCUCUAAGUAACACGAUAACCAUUUUAGCUCCACACCCCGUUUUCGUCGGUGCUUGUGUCCUCUUUGGGAUCACAUCACCUUCGUACUUGCGUUUUACACCUUCCUUGUAGCAACUAUAUCUCCUAGACAUGGUCACACCGUCUUUAUCUUUAUUUAGAUAGUCUUUGCGUACACUAAAUCCCAUUUUAAAGGCAUAUUUGUUGUAAAACUUGUACACAUCCUCUUCACUGUUGAAUUCCAUUCCUAACUCAGGGGUCCGAUUUUCUGCCAAUUUACUGCAAUCCAUUACUUCUGCUCCUGCUAAUUAUGCAUCAAACACCCUAAUUUGCAACAUUUCAUGAAUAGUAUGUACAUAAAUGACAAUAUAAAUGUAUAUUACCAUUCAUAAUUUGUUAUAAAUCACACAUUACUCGUAUACCAAAUUCUAUUAUUACGCUUAUCAAUAUGAUUAAUGAUUCACAUCACCUUACUUUUACUCUAAGACAACGGCAUUAUCUAUGUACAAAUACAACUCCAUGUACACCAAGUUAUACGGACUGUAAUGUAUUGGUCACAUGAUAUAAGUCUAUUUUAACUGAAUGUACAUCCACGCUGGUGAUUAUAUUUUGAUUCUAGGUUCUUUAGCACACUGGACCUUAUGUCAUUCAUUACUGUCAACCGCAUAAGCUAACUCCGCAUUUUCUAUUAUUUCUACAUUUUAAGGGCCAAACAAGCACUUUCUACUCAUUGUAAUAUAUUUCUUACAUCAUGUAAUUUACUUACAACACAAGAUUCACCCAUUUAUUAUUCACAUAUAUGUCUUUUCCUCUGCUUCAUCUCAUUCAACUCUACGCCUCCAUUUUAUACACACUGCAUGGUCAUGAGAGGGGCAAACUAAUAUUGCCCCAUGAGCAUGAACCAACUACUACAUGCACAAUGCUUCAUAUCAAUUGUAAUACGGUAGCUAUAACAUGUAACUAAUUUACAACAGGAUGUACAUUAAUUCACUUGUUAAAUGUGACUUUGUUUCUCUCAUAUUUCCCUAAUUCCGUUCGACAGUUUACUUUAAAGGUCUUCCAAUAACUACUAUCCCAAUAUAGUCCAUCACUGAAAAGCUGAAUGCUCACACACACACACAGAUACGAUACGAUACACACACAAAUAUAGUACAAUUUCACUAUUUUUCUAUCAUCUUCAUAUUAUGUCUUCAAUGACUCUAAUUUCAUCUUUCAUUUAACAGAUGUGCAUUUGGGUGACAAAUUAUUGGCCACAGUUACUAGCAUGGUUCACUCACGUUACCUUGGUCUGCUAAUACGCUUUACGUUUCACCGAAGUCGGAGAGCGUAGCUGCUUCUGCUAUUAAGUUGAAGGACAAAAUCUGGCUUCAUGAGAUGCUCAAUUUUCUCUGUUUGCUUCUACCUUACCGCCUGCCUUGGUUGCAUUCAAAAUGGAUACAACACUCUCAUACCCAGUUGAAGACCAUAGCUGCUUCUGCUAUUCAGUUUUACGGACAAACUCUGAUUUCGUCUCUGUUUUCUUCUCCCUUGCCGCCUGCCUCUCCACCCACUUUUCUGUCAAUUACUACCUUCAUCAGAGUAGACUUCACCCACUUCACCUAGAAACACCCAGUAGGUCGAAUCUCACCCGAACUUCAGCUUUCUACCUUCAGUGUCGAAGCCCAGCCGAACUUCAGCUUUCUACCUUUAGUGAGCGGUCGGUCAGAGUAGACUACCUUCACAAGCACGCCAAGACUCUCCGCUGAAGUUUUGUUUUCUGCGGCUAGUUCAAAAUUUCAACUUGAAUUUCAAAAUCACGAAUCUUCCGUUUGCUCCGUCUGCUCCCGUUUGGAAGUCAAUAUUUUUUUAUUUGAAACGGCAUCGUUCCUUGCCCUGCUGAAGACUUGCUGACUUGGCUCAUUUGUCUCAUCAUGUUUUUUAUUGUGAGAAAACCGUUCAGGAGCGGUCGGCCUGACGACCGCUCCUGCCCCGUAUCCCGGUACGCCUGUUAUCCUUCAUCCCGAUAAGGAUUUAGUACAAUUGUAUUUUGCGUGAUUUCAUCUAAUUAUUGUACAUAUUUAAAGUUUUAGUGUACAAAUAUAUCAAAAUGUUGUAUUGAAUAUAUGUUAAAUAUUUUAUUUAUAUAUAUUAUUUUUAUCUUGAAUAUAUAAUAUAAUGUAAUUAUACACCAAAUAAUACAAAAAGUACAACAAUCGGACAAACUAUCAAACCUCAACUGCAUUGGGCCUUCUCUCCCUCUCCAAAUUAAUUCAAAAAACAAUACCCAAUAUCUUUGAACCGAUUUUAAAUGAAUAAUGAUACAUAUAUAUAUUAUCGAUUUACUCAUCACCGGUCUAUCACCGCCUAGUAGAGUAAUGACGUGUAUCAUGGUUUCUUUUCUCAUCUUUAAGGAGUAUUGACCUCCUACUCACUACAAACGAAUACACCACAAGAUGGUGGAAAGCUUGUGCUUAAAUAAUUGUAUGAAAUAUAAUAAAAUUUAUAAUGCUUAAUUAUGUUUUUCGAGUUUAGCUUAAAUAAUUCCUAUACAAAUCAAUUAAGGUCUGAUAUUUGUAAGUUUCUAAACUAAUAACUGGUUGUGAAUUUGGAAUGUUUCAAUCUUGGCUAAUCAUUAUUGUUAAUUAACCAAGGUUAGUAUAUGCUAGAACUAAUCAUUAUUGCUUUCUACCAAGGAUCAAAUAGAACUACUUAGACGAACAUGUAUAAUUAACUAAGGACCAAAUGGACUAAUGCCCAAUGAUGUACAAUAUGGUAUAGAAUUAACUCCUUUUUAUCCCUUUUUGACACGGUUUAGAAACGAAAUACACAACUUGUUGACCAAUUUGAUGUUUUUCUCAUGGAGAUUUCAUCAUUCCAACAAUAUUUGUCUUUGCGGAAUAGUGUUCUUAAUAUUGCUGUUAAGCAUUCCUAUGAAUAUAACCAUCAUAAUUGCUUAUUAGUAAUAGGGGUAAUUUCAGAAAUCUCCCUUGAGGUUUCUAACACUUUCACUGACCUCCCUGAAAUUUUAAAAAUUAUACUAACCUCCCUUGUCAGAAAUUUGGACCCCAUUACUUACAUAAGAUAUAGUGAAAGUACUACUUUGCCCUAAAACAUUAUGCAUUAUUACAAAUGGGUAUUUGACAAAAAAGAAAGUUAGGAGAAAUAAAUAAAAUCAACUAAUUAAACCAAAAUGACGAUUAUUUCAUCUCAAAUUAGUAACCAUAAUUACAAUCAAACAAUGGCAUCAAUUGCUAUCCUAAGAUGGAGCUAUUUUUAUGAUUGAUAUCACUUAACAAUAAUCAGGACAGACAACCUUAUAUAAUCUACACAGAUAGAUCUUAUGAGCAAUAGAAAUAGAAGGAUUUUCAAACUGGCUUAUUUUGUUAAAUCUUGUGUCAAGGCAAAACUAAUUCAUACCUUAUGUUGCUGAUUUGUUGACUAAGACUUGUAUAUUUUCUGCACCAAUACUUUUACUUUCGCUUCGUCAACUACAAUAAAAAGAUAAAUUUUUUACCCAAUUUAGAUGCUUAUACUAAUAAUUUAACAACUUUAUAGAGUUAGAUGUGUCUUUUACAUGUAGUUGCAAAUGAAAAAAAUAUGGCCAUUACAAUUUGCACUAACUAUGUGCAAAGACGAUUGUUGCUUCAGGUUAUAAUUGCUACAUCUUUUCAAAUUUUAUUCUUUACUAAUACAGCUUGAGAACAAUUAGAAAAGGGCAUAUAUGGAAGAAAAUUAUCACCUCAGUCCUCAAAAUAUGUUUUUAAUAGUACUUUUUUUUUAAUUGGACUGAUUCUGUUAUCAAAACCUUAAGUUCAAGGGAGGUUAGUGAAAGUGUUUGAAACCUCAGCGGAGGUUUGUAAAAGUAUCCCUUAGUAAUAUUGUCUAUUGGUUUGGUUAUUGUCUUAAUAAAGCUAUCAACUACUAUCAAUAAUUGAUAUCACUUCUCAAUUUCAUAAUAAGGAUACUACUAGUUUAGAAGGCUCAAUUUCAUUACUAAGUGAAAAAGAUAUAUAAACUUGUAAAAGCAAAGGACACUAUAAAUGUGAAUGGCAGAAUAAAUGUGAAUGGCAGAAUACUAUUAAAGAAAAUUUAACAAGUUGCAACAUAUAACAAGUCUUAAAUCCUUAUUGGUCUUAUCCAUCUACUAAGAUUUUGGCAAAGUCGCCCAAAAAAAAGUAAUUCUAGUGGAAUUAAAAUAGAUAAUUAGAACUUUCAAAUCAUAGAUUUCUUGCAUAGUGAUUUUCUUCAUCAACUUCAACCCUUCCGUCUGCGGGUUGUCAAAGUGAAGUCCUCUAUAUUGCUAAGUAAAUCAUGAAUUAGAAAGUGAAAUUAAAAGAGUUAGUGUAAAUCACUUAUUUAUGUGUAGACUAGUACUGUCACUUAUAUAUGUGUAGACUAGUAAUGGCAAUCAGAAAAAGUGACUCAAUAAAACAAGGCAAAAGUUGUAAGUUGUAACAAUUGUAAAUAACUGAAUUGACUUCCAUAAUCCUUUGUUGGCACUUGCUCUUGAACUAGAGAACAAUUCUAUUGUGAAAUCCUUUUACAAUAUAGGAAAUGAUUCAUAAAUACCAAUUUUAAAAGGUAAAUUUGGCACAUUUCAAACUUUUAAGAACAUUCGAGCAUUUGAUUUAAACCAUAAUUUUGAUAUAAAAAUUUUUUGGGUAAAAUAGUUGCACUUUUCUGUUCAAUAGGAUUAGCUGUUUCAAAUUGGAUUGGUGUGGUACAAAUACUAACAAUUUGUUGCUCUUGAAAAAAUAAAAUGGCUAAAUUAAUAUGGAAUUAACUAAUGUUACAUCCUAGGGCUAAAUCCUCAAAAUAUUGUCAAUUUCUAAAAAAAUCAACCAAAUGUGAGUCUGCAGAAGCAUAAUAUCAAGAUUUUCAAAAAAAAAAAAAGUUACAUGGCACAACGGCCCACAAAUUUUUUUUUAAGAACCUGUCAUGGCGCGAUGGCUGACAGGAUUUUCUGUGGUUGUCUAUCCCAUCGUGCACGUCAUUUUUGUUUUUCUUUAAAAAAAUUGUGUAUAUAAAUUUGUAAAAUAAGAAUUAGGGUCGGUAAAACCAUUUUACCAAGUGUAGAAGUGUUUAGGGUUUACACAUUAUAAACAAUUUGUAUGAUUUACAAAUUAGUAAAGUCACGGUUUGUUAAUAUUAACUUUGUUCAUAUAGUCUUCUAUCACUUAGUUGUAUCAAAUUAGGGUUUAUGGUUUUGGGUUUACAAUUUACAAAAUAGGGUUUAGGGUUUACAAAAUCAACCGUAAUUGUAUAGAAGUAGAAAAAUUACUACGUGAAUUGCAAUUUUUUAUAUUUAGAAUGUGACAGCCCCACCUUCCCCUAAGGCAAACCAGAGGGGUUAGUGGAUUGCCUGCCCAACUCUCGCCAGGACUAACGGUACAGUUUAGAGCGAUCUAUUGCGUUCCGGAACUUAUAAACGCGCGUAAACAAGGCAAAAGGGCAAAAUAACCCAAAAUAAAAAAAAUACAAUUCGGAGUCGGCCAUAAAUAGUAACCGACCCGUCAGAACGCAACCAAAUAUCGAACAAACAUUCACACAACAACUCACCAACACUUCCUUAAGUGGUUUUAUGGAGCAAAAUCAAGGUUGGAUGGUUGGUUUUGAUGAUUUGGAACAAGAUUGAAGCGUUUUCUUCCUUGUGCUUGGAGUAAGAGAGAGAGAAAGAGAGAAAGAGAGGGCCGGCCACUUCUUGAUGAUUUUUGAAGAUUUUUGGUCAUUUUUAAACUAUUUUAACCAAAUUGGUAAAAGGGUGAAUAGUGUUCAAAAAGGUCAAACCACUCCUAUGGUGACACUUGUCACCUUUUAUUAAAUGUUCACCUAUCUUGUCUCUCUUAUAUCAAUCCACUUAGCACCCUCUACUUAUCUCUUAACACCCGGUAAAUUAAUUCCAGUAUUCAAAACUUAACCUAGUUGGCCGAAUUUUUUCGAACUUUUCGCACUAGUGGGUCCCACGUCCGGUAUACGCUCUUAAUUUCUCAAAAUCCAUUCGAUACUAGAAAAAUCAUCUAAAAAUUAUAUCUGCUCCUUAAAUACAUCUAGCAAUUUUUCUAAGCACGAAAAUGCUGAAAACAAGCCAUGAAAAAUACGAGAAACCUAGAAAAUGAAACUUAUGGGUUCUCACACUCUCUCCCCCUUGAAAGAAUUUCGCCCUCGAAAUUUCUCACCUUAACUCACGAAAAGGUUAGGGUAUUUCGUUCGCAUUUCUUCUUCCACUUCCCAGGUAGCUUCCUCUACCCCAUGGUUUCUCCACAGUAUCUUCACCAAUGGAAUCUGCUUGUUUCUUAGCUCUUUGACUUUCCAGUCAAGCACUUGGACAGGUUUUUCUUCGUAAGCAAGCGAUUCGUCUACGUCGAUCUCCUCUGGUUGUAAGACAUGGGUUGGGUCGGGAUAGUACUUCUUGAGCAUUGAGACAUGAAAUACGUCAUGGAUUCUCGAGAGACUUGACGGCAGUUCUAAUCUAUACGCUACCGCACCUAUCCUCUGUAAGAUCUUGUAAGGUCCGACAAACUUCGGUUGAAGCUUCUUUCCUUUGCCUGCUGUGACACUCCGUAAAAGGGUGACUUUAAGAAAUACGUGGUCUCCAACCUCGAACUCCAAAUCUUUUCUCCGGUUGUCGGCGUAGCUCUUUUGUCGGCUUUGAGCUGUUUGGAGUCGUUGCCGUAUCAACUAGACUUUUUCUCGAGCUUUCUCCAUCCAAGGAAUAGUGGUUGGAUCUACGGCCUUCCUCUCGCCAAUUUCAUCCCAGUAAAUUGGUGAUCGGCAUUUUCGUCCAUAUAAUGCUUCAUAUGGAGCCAUUUGAAUCGACGAAUGGUAGCUAUUGUUGUACGCAAACUCUACUAAGGUCAUGUGUUGACCCCAGUUGCCUCCAAAAUCCAGAAUGCAAGUUCGUAGCAUGUCCUCGAGAGUUUGAAUGGUUCGUUCUGAUUGUCCAUCCGUCUGAGGGUGAUAGGUGGUGCUCAAGUUGAGUUUCGUCCCUAGAGUCUCCUGAAACUUUUGCCAAAACCGAGAUACGAAACGUGGAUCUCGAUCAGAGACGAUGCUCACCGGAACACCGUGCAGCUUUACAAUCUCGUCAAUGUACAGUUGAGCCAACUUGUCCAUGAAAUAUUUCAUGUUCACCGGCAAGAAAUGAGCCGAUUUGAUUAACCGGUCGACGAUCACCCAAACGGCAUCGUGUCCUCGCUGCGUUCGUGGCAAUCCUGAAACGAAAUCCAUGGUGAUGUUCUCCCACUUCCAUUCAGGUAUCUCAAGGGGUUGUAACAAACCAGAUGGUUUUUUAUGCUCUGCUUUCACUUGUUGGCAAAUGAGACAUUUUUGCACGUACAGAGCAAUUUCCUUCUUCAUAUUGUCCCACCAAUAGGUUCCUUUCAGGUCUUGAUACAUCUUGCUACUACCCGGAUGGAUUGUAUACUUAGAUCGAUGGGCUUCCUCCAGAAUCUCCGUUUUCAACGAUUCAUCCUUCGGCACCACUAUUCGAUUUCGGUAUUUUAAAAUACCCUCAGGACCAAAAUUGAAAUCAGUGGUUUCCCCUUUUUCCACUUUCUCUCCUCACUUUCAUACCAUCUGAUCCUCCUUUUGAGCUUCUUUAAUUCUCUCCAAGAGAGUGGAAGUCACUUUAAUAUUGCCAAAAAUCACCUUAUGGCUCCCAGGGCAGGGUUUCCAUUCACACACGGAGUCUAACAAUUCCCACUCUUUGAUCAUUAGACUCGCGACCUGAGCUUUGCGACUUAGGGUAUCGGCCACCACGUUUGCUUUUCCCGGAUGGUAGUUGAUGGUACAGUCGUAAUCCUCCAGAAACUCCAUCCACCGUCGCUGCCUCAUGUUCAGUUCUUUCUGUGAAAAAAGAUACCUCAAGCUUUUGUGGUCGGAGUAAACCUCGAAAGUUACUCCAUAUAAGUAGUGCCUCCACUUCUUCAGAGCAAAAACAACUGCAGCUAGCUCCAGAUCGUGGGUCGGGUAAUUUUGCUCGUGGGGUUUUAACUUCCUCGAGGCAAAAGAGAUCACAUUUCGGUUUUGCAUUAAUACACAACCCAGGCCUUCUCGUGAUGCAUCAGUGUACACAGCAUAUCCGUCCACCCCGUUUGGUAAGGCUAGAACUGGAGCCAUGGUCAAUCUUUUCUUUAAUUCUUGAAAACUUGUCUCACUUCGGGCGUUCCAUAAGAAUCGACCAUGUUUCUUCGUCAAAUCGGUUAGAGGACCGGCUAGUUUGGAGAAGUUCUUGAUAAAAUACCGGUAAUAUCCAGCCAGUCCUAGAAAGCUGCAGACCUCUGUGGGAGUUUCUGGCCUCUUCCAAUUAGUCACAGCCUCUACUUUCGUCGGGUCGACUGAAAUACCCUCUUGAGAAAUUACGUGCCCCAGAAAAGCAAUUUUCUCCAGCCAAAAUUCGCACUUGCUGAACUUGGCAUAUAGUUGAUGGUCUCUUAAGGUUUGUAAAACAAUCCUCAAGUGCUGCUCAUGCUCUUCACGCGUCUUGGAAUAGACCAGGAUGUCAUCGAUGAAGACCACUACAAAGCGAUCCAGGUAGGGCUUAAAAACCCUAUGCAUUAGGUCCAUGAAGGCUGCAGGAGCAUUGGUUAGUCCAAAGGGCAUCACUGCGAACUCGUAAUGCCCAUAUCUUGAGUUGAAGGCGGUCUUCGGAAUAUCCUCCUUCCUGAUUAGUAACUGGUAGUACCCUUGGCGGAGGUCCAGUUUCGAGAAGACCACCGCUCCUUGCAACUGAUCAAAUAGCUCAUCGAUAUGGGGCAGUGGAUACUUAUUUUUAAUUGUAAUAUUAUUCAGGCCCCGAUAAUCAAUACACAUCCUCAAACCACCAUCUUUUUUCUUCACAAACAGUACAGGAGCUCCCCAAGGAGACCCACUCUCUUGAAUGAAUCCCCACUCCAGAAGGUCCUGUAAUUGCAACUUUAGCUCCUUGAGUUCGGCAGGAGCCAUUCGGUAUGGUGUUUUUGAGAUGGGUGAGGAUCCCGGUAGCAGGUCUAUUUUGAAUUCAAUUUCUCUUUUCGGAGGUAAGGCUAUUAAUUCAUCAGGAAACACGUCAGGAAAUUCCUUCACUAUGGGCACAUCCUCCAUUUUCACUUUAUCUGUAGGGGUAUUGAUCAAAAAGGCCAAAAAUCCUUGCGCCCCUCUACUUAGCAAUUUCCUAAUCCGAAUGCCCGAAAUCAAAGCAGAUGAGGCUAACCUACCCCUUAUAUCCAACCUUAUGGUUGUCCCACCAGGGAUAUGGAAUUCCACCACUUUCGUUUUACAAUCCAGUUGGGCAUUAUACUUGGCUAGCCAGUCCAUACCCAAUAUCACAGCAUACCCCUUAAUGACUAGACUUAUCAAAUCCCCUAACAAUCUUUUCUCUCCUACCCACACUUCACAAUCCCUAUAAACCAUACUAGUAACCAACCGUUGAUUCCCCGCAGGUGUACUAACUUCUAGGUCGUAUGGUAAACUAGCAGAUUUUAUAUCGAUGCCACACAUGAAAUCAGGGUUAACAAAGGAAUGAGUGGCACCAGAAUCAAUUAAAACUUUGGCAAAAUGGUGAAAAAUAGGGAUCGUACCUUCUACGACCUCUGAGGAAUCUGGGACCUGUCGAGGUUCUAAGGAAUAGACUCGAGCUGGCACCUUAGGUUUCGCCUCAUUCCCCUUAUUCGGUCCCGUAUUGGUCUUUGACGUGGUUUGAGCUCCCCUUCCUUCUUGCGUCAAAAGUGGGCAGGUAGCCAGCUUGUGGUCUGCGCUUCCGCAACACAGACAUUUGCCUCCCUUCUUCCAACAAUUGUCUUCAGAGUGAUUCGGCUUUCCGCAGUACCCGCAAGGUCCACUAGACGCCGAACCUGAGCCCUUCUGGAAGUUUCCACCUUGGCCUCUCCCGGCUGGGCCUCCCCUAGACUGAGCCCCUCUGCCGGAACCUGACUGUCGUCCACCUCCAGCUCCGCGUCCGAACUUGGAGGGAGUACCUUUGUCCCCUUGUCCAGAACUGCUUCCAGGAAAGCCCCACUUUUUCGCCUGGAAGUUUCGGACCUGCAAUCGAGCACUCUCUACCCUUUGGGCCUUUUCUACGACCUCGCUAAAAGCAUUGAUUUGAGCCACUGCGAGGUUCUUUUGGAUUUCGACGUUCAAGCCCUGAAUGAAACGCCUGAUUCGCCGUUGCUCUGUCAUGAUCAGUUUAGGCGCAAAUUUGGACAAACGGGUGAACUGGCUCUCGUAUUCCGCCACCGAUUGAGUUCCUUGGCGGAGUCGAAUAAACUCGUCUUCCUUCCUCUCCUGAACUAGAGGAGGGAAGAAUUUUGCAUUGAAUUUCCGGAUGAAAUUCACCCAAGUCCUGGGCGUUUGUUCCCGUUCCCAUUUUUGGCGUAUGACGUUCCACCAGGAACGGGCCGCCCCUUCUAACUGAAAUACGGCAAAAGUCACCUGCCGUUCAUCGGUAUAAUGUAAGGCCGCAAAAAUAUCAACUAUUUUCUCGAGCCAUCUCUCGGCAACAUCCGGAUCUGGCCCCCCAAUAAACUUGGGUGGAGCGAACUUUUGAAAACGUUCGAGAACUCUGUCUUCGCUCUCGACAUGAUUGCCAGGGUUUCCAGGGUUUCCAAGAUUAGGGUUUGGAUUCUGGCCUUGUUGAUGCACCACUUGUGCUAGCAAAUUAGUCAUUUGCUGCAUGGCGGCAGCGAUUUGCACAUUGGGGUCAGGGUUAGGUCCAGUAGAGGUUUCCCCAGUACCCCUAUCCGGUGUGGGUUGUCUAUUUCCGCGCCCACGUCCCCGGCCACUACGUGUUCCUUCCAUAAACUUUACUUGGUCCAGGCAAUGGUACUAAACCAAUAUAAAACAAUGCAUGUAAGUAAACUCAAAACUUUUCAAACAAAUAUAUACAUUCCAAACAAGGCAAACAACACACAUAUAUACAAUCAGUCAAGUCAAGUUCAGUCAAAUCAAGUACAAGCAUGGACAAUCCCCAAGGGAAUGGCCUCAUCAAAAGAAAUGUACACGUAGCUAAGGCCAUUCUCUCUAUCCGCCCUAUAUACAAAACCAAAACUAUCCAAAACAACUCUAGGAGUCAUAACCUAGACCGACGACGAGCUAUGAGACCCACCCAACGGAGUGGAUCCAACCCCAGCCUCAGGACCCGCGCAAGAUUCCUCGUCACUCACGCCCUCAACCACGUCAGCGCAAAGAUUCAGGAUCGAUGCAGCUCGAGCCUUCACCUUGCGAGCUCGCUUACUCUCGCGCUCUUGGACCUCCUUCAGCUGAGCGCAGAGGUCAUCAACCCUAUCCUCGGCCUCAAGUACAUCGUCCUUCAGGCCCUCAAUGCGCUCGGCCUGUCUCACAUUGGCCGCCCUAAGUUGGGUCACCUCGGUCUCCAGUCGAGCAUUCUCUCCGGCCAACUCCUUACGCUCCUUGUCCAGAGCAAACACCAGAGCGUUCGGAUAGGCAUACUUAUGUUUACACUCACACCGUCGGAGACGGUUAGACGGGCUCCAGCGCACGACGGCCCCUCCUGGCCGUAUCUGGUACGGAAUCACUGGGAGUGCUCCGCGUGGUCUCUCGCCUGGAGGACUAUCACUAGGUUCACCCUGUCCGGCCAUCCUACACCAAAAGAGCAAUUAACCAUAAAUAUAAGCUUAAAGGCCAUAAACAAUAAACCCUCAAAUCAAGCAUUCCUCUAACACCCAGGCUAAUUCAAACCUAGACUCUGAUACCACCUGUGACAGCCCCACCUUCCCCUAAGGCGAACCAGAGGGGUUAGCGGACUGCCUGCCCAACUCUCGCCAGGACUAAUGGUACAGUUUAGAGCGAUCUAUUGCGUUCCGGAACUUAUAAACGCGCGUAAACAAGGCAAAAGGGCAAAAUAACCCAAAAUAAAAAAAAAUACAAUUCGGAGUCGGCCAUGAAUAGUAACCGACCCGUCAGAACGCAACCAAAUAUCGAACAAACAUUCACACAACAACUCACCAACACUUCCUUAAGUGAUUUUAUGGAGCAAAAUCAAGGUUGGAUGGUUGGAUUUGAUGAUUUGGAACAAGAUUGAAGUGUUUUCUUCCUUGUGCUUGGAGUAAGAGAGAGAGAAAGAGAGAAAGAGAGGGCCGGCCACUUCUUGAUGAUUUUUGAAGAUUUUUGGUCAUUUUUAAGCUAUUUUAACCAAAUUGGUAAAAUGGUGAAUAGUGUUCAAAAAGGUCAAACCACUCCUAUGGUGACACUUGUCACAUUUUAUUAAAUGCUCACCUACCUUGUCUCUCUUAUAUCAAUCCACUUAGCACCCUCUACUUAUCUUUUAACACCCGGUAAAUUAAUUCCAAUAUUCAAAACUUAACCUAGUUGGCCGAAUUUUUUCGAACUUUUCGCACUAGUGGGUCCCACGUCCGGUAUACGCUCUUAAUUUCUCAAAAUCCAUUCGAUACUAGAAAAAUCAUCUAAAAAUUAUAUCUGCUCCUUAAAUACAUCUAGCAAUUUUUCUAAUCACGAAAAUGCAGAAAACAAGCCAUGAAAAAUACGAGAAACCUAGAAAAUGAAACUUAUGGGUUCUCACAUAGAAAUUUAUAUAAAAUACAAUUGUGUUAAAAAACUAAUAGUAUCUUCGUAGAAAUAAAGAAUGUUUGUAUAAAAUGCACAGAGAGUAAAGUGCUCUUAUAGGUCAUUAUUUGAUAUAUGAUACUCAUAUUUAACGAUUAAAAAAAUUAAAUUGAUCAUAGAGUUACUUGUGCCUUUUUAUCUAUUAAAUUAAUGUACCCUUUUCUAGUAUUGUAAGGUUCAUAAAAUACCGUGUACUUCUCAAUUUUGAAAAUAUUGAAUGUUGUUCAAACGUAAAGCAACUGGAUUAAACACAAUAAUCAAAAUAAAUAAAUGUCAAGAUGGAUGAAGUUUAAAACAUUGUUAAAAAAGAACAAUAUCAAUGCCUCACGUAUUUCUUGCUUUUAUCUUUGCCCUUAACCUGUUUACAAAGGGUUGUGGGGGGGAUAACAAUAGUUUUGCGCUUAGUUUGCUAAAAUGGUUUUACCGACCCUAAUUCUUAUUUCACAAAUUUUUAUACACAAUUUUUACUAAGAAAAAAAAAGGAAAAUCUUGUCAGCCGUGUUGCCACCAUGGCACGACGGCUUGACAGGUUCUUUAAAAAAAAUUUGUGAGGCCAUCACGCUUAAGCUUUUUUUAAAAAAAAAUCUGGAGCCCGUCGCGCCAUCUGAGUUGAUCUUUUUAGCAAUUGACAAUAUUUUGAGGAUUUAGCCACAUCCUAGUAACUUUAUGUCAGUAACUUAAUAAAAGUACAAAUGAACAUUUAACGUACCUUUGUUUUCUUUCUUGCACAUGCUUGGCUUUCUUCUUUAUGUUGUUAGAUCUAUUUUGAGUUCUGUGUGUCCAAAAUGAUUACCAUUUUAAAGGUCAAGAAAAUAAAGAAAAUUGAACAAUUGACUUGCUAAAAAGAUGAGACAAAUACAUAAACUAAGAAAUGAAAAUGUACUUGGUCGUUCCAACUUUCACACUUGGUGACACAUUUUUGUUUUAAUGGUUGGUCGUCUUUCAUUAGAACUUGAACAGGACUACAAAUCCCAGAAGACAAAUCAAAUUUGAAUAGGACUAAGAAUCAGAGAAGACAAAUUUGACUCAGUAACACAUCGCACAUUCCUAUUUAGCUCCACUCUCCGGUUUUGCUUUAUCCUUAUCAUUAUCACCACAUUUUUCCUUCAUCGUUUCAUUUGAAGAUGAGCAGCGUAGCUCAAGUAAGGCACAGAUUGAAGGCAAGAUCAAAGGUAUGUCAUGCAGUCACUUUCGAGGGAAUAUAUAUUACAAUCGACAGUUAAACUAAUAACGCCUACAUCACUUAGAAUUCUCAAGUUGUUCACGUAAAUAUUCAGCUGUUCCUACAACAUUCAUUAGAUCCCAAAUUUUGCUACAUUACAAUGACCUGAGCAGUCAAAUACAUCAGUAGAAGUUCCAAAAUUUCGUCUGCUUUCAACCCUUUGAAGAGGCAACUAUGUGUUACUCUAACAAAGGGUAAACAUUAUGCAAGGGUGGACAAGAUGAUAAGAAUCAUAUUCCUGUUGAUCAAAUGAACCCAAAGAGUCAGUGUUGAGAGGAAAAGGUAAAUCGUUUCAUGCUGAGGCAAUGUUUAAUAGCUCCAGCCAUUCUGUUAGCUUCUCCCUGGACUUGCUUUUCAACAAUCCUCGUCUUGUUUCUUCCUGAUCAAUCUUUUCCCAGGCUCCAAAAGGAAAAAAUCUUAUAUCCCUACUGUCAAGUAACUGGAGCAGUCCCUCUCUCCCAGGCUUUUGCUGUGAGCUGGACGUACGUGUGAAUAGUCCUUUCUCAACAUCUUCAGUUAUACUAGCCACCUGCCAGGUUUUCAGGUAAUAUCUGAAGUUAAAUGAUCAAGAGUGUA
rnacentral:lncRNA from 1 species